UUGGCAGGCAAUGGGGCAGACUCCAUGGA
rnacentral:piRNA from 1 species